rnacentral:misc_RNA from 1 species
UCUCCGUUGGUGAACCAGCGGAGGGAUCAUUACCGAGUUUACAACUCCCAAACCCAAUGUGGACCAUACCAAACUGUUGCCUCGGCGGGGUCACGCCCCGGGUGCGUCGCAGCCCCGGAACCAGGCGCCCGCCGGAGGGACCAACCAAACUCUUUCUGUAGUCCCCUCGCGGACGUUAUUUUUACAGCUCUGAGCAAAAAUUCAAAAUGAAUCAAAACUUUCAACAACGGAUCUCUUGGUUCUG